CAAAGGCUUGGUCCUGACUUUACUAUCGACUUUAGCUAAAUUACACAUGCAAGUAUCCGCAUCCCCGUGAGAAUGCCCUACAGUUCCCUGCUCGGGAACAAGGAGCUGGUAUCAGGCAC
rnacentral:rRNA from 1 species